UAUUUUUGCCUGUUUUGAGAUGAUUGGAAGCAUGAAGAUGAUUGGAAGCAUGAGUGCCUUGCUUCUCGAAGGGUGAUUAGGGCCCUGCUCUCCCUCUCUCUGCUGGAGUUAGCGACAGAACCUUCCUUUCUCUAUCACACAGCACACACCUCUCCCUGUACUGUGUCUGCCUGGUGAAGGAGGAGGAGAAGGUGGUGGGGAUAAUUUCUGAGGGCUUUGCUUAGAGCUGAGGGGAAGGAGAGGCUGCCAAGAAGCCGGAUGGAGCUGCAGCCCCUGGAGCUGCCAUCUGCUUCUUGUCAGGUUGUUGUGAAGUGCUUGUUCCUGGCUGCCUGGUGACAGAGGCUGCUGGACUGCAGCAGAAGGAUGUGGUUAUGACAGAUGCUCUGUUUACCAUACUUUGUGCCUAGUCAGGAUCACACAGGAUGUUUGCUUUUUCCUGGGAAAGUCACCGUUUGGUGUCUUGCUCACCUCCUUCCCCAGCAUGUGCUUUCCAAAUGGUCAUCUCUGUUGGGAGGUAUGGAGACCGCACUCCAUCUGUCGUCCUUCGCUCAUGGGAGAAGACUCCCCUCGGUGGAAAUCCCUGUGCUUCCUCGAGGUGUAAUGCAGCUGGGGACCCAUUUUCCCCUUUACAACAGGGGUGGGCAGUCUGUGGCGCUCCAGAUGUUGUCUGACUCCAACUCCAGGCUGGAUGGCCAAUAAUCAGAUACUAGAGUUGGAGUCCAACAACAUUGUGGGGAGGGGGCGGCACAGGUUCCCCAUCCCUGCUCUAUAGUAAGGCACAUUACUGCUUCUCUAGUGAUGCAUAAAGGUUCUUCCAAUGUCCAUUAAUUCCUUGCCACUUGAGUCCUUCUCAGAUUGCAUCAGCAGCAGGUGGCUUAGUGGUGUGAGUGGCCAUUGCUUACCUGGCUGUCCAGUGUGGAGGUUGCUGCUGGUAGCCAAGAGGCAGUGGGGAGGUCAGCACAGUGCAAGCACAGUGGCAGAACCAUUCUGACACUCCUGAUGCUUCAUCCACACCAACCUCUUUUCUGCCUCUCCACUCCCCCUAAACCCUUUGGUUACCAGCAGUGACCUCCAUGUUGGGAAACCGUAAGCAAUGCCACUCCACUCCACCAGCUGCUACUGAUGCUGCUGGAUUGCAUGUGGUUCACUUCCAUGAAGGGGAUGUUGGGGAAGGUGUUGCAGUGGUUGACAAAGCCUUAGCAGUGAUCCAGAUCCUUCCCGUGGAGUCUCCUGCUUCCUGCUGGCACUUCAGCCAGAUGGUUCGCUGCAGGAGAAUGCCAGAGCUUUCCCAUAGAUAAAAUUGCAAAGGCUUUCAACACUGUCUCCGCUAAGUCUUAGCUCAUCCUGUAGUCAGUCGGAAAUCAGAAUGAGCAGGUUAAUUUUAGAAUUUAAUAAUUUUACCAAGGUUAUCUCACAUCUGAUCUCCUGUUAUUCCAUUCUUGGGCAAAGCGGAUCAUAGUCCCCUAAGGAUCCUACCACAAACAAGAAUGAAAGACAGAAUUAUCUCUUUUGGAUCAAAGGCUGAUUACAGAGAAUGAUUUAUCUUAUGAGAAAAAGUGAAGCUAAGUAUAAUGGAACUGUAAUGAAAUUGGAAUGAAUAAAUACGUAAUGUUUUUAAAGUGACAGAUAUAUCUUAAUGUAACGAAUGAGUGAUCAUUCAAGGUAUCUCAGGAGUUAGCAAACAGGAGUUUGGAAGUCAGUUUGCUUAACAAAACAGAUGUUCCCUAUUUAAAUGAAAAGACUGAAGCAAUAUUUUGACUAUGUCCAAGUUAUGACAGAAUAGAAUUACUGGGUCUAGUAGACAGUGAACUCUUCAUUUGGUUACCCUUUUAUGGGACAAACCACACAUUUAAACUGCAGAAUUUGCCUCAAACAAGACCAAUUUGGCCUCAGUUCUUUGACCCACCUCACAGCUGGGCACAAGACCCUCACAAAUUUUCCCCAAAGGUGGAAAGGUCUUAAUAUCAGCUUGGUGUCACUAGCUCCUAACUGCACCCUGGAUUUUAUCAGUUCCCAGACUUGCGUCUGGUCCUUGAAUGGCCAGAGGUCAAGCAUAGCUUCUAAAUGCAACAUGACCAAUACAUCAUUGGAGCAUCUAUGAAAGCUUACAUAAACCAGAUUUUUGUUCUUAUGGUAACUUACUCAUUUCUAAGAAGACAGCUAUCCAGCUGGUUAUCUCACAUCUGACUUCCUUUCCCACUGUAGGGCAAAGCCAAGCAUAGCUAAGGAUCCCCAAGGUGGCUGAAAUGUCAGCCUGACACUGUACCAUAAAUUAUCUAGCUUGUUAGCAUCAGUGUCAAACUAUACCUACCAAAUGCAAGCAUAAUUCAUGCCAGCUGUGAAUGCAUUGUGUAGAAAAUGCACUGCAUUAUCCUCGGCUAAAAAUAUAGCAUUUUAGUAACUCCAAUAAAGGUAGAUCCUUGCAACGAAAGCUCCAUCCUAAGAGAAAGCAAGUGGAUUGUCCGUUACCACUGGAAGACAAAUGCAUGUGCACAAAAAGCCGAUUGUGCAAAAAUCACUGUAAUUGCCUUGGCAGAAUCUCCACUGAGCUCAGUUUUCAUGCCCGAAACAUUCACAGUGCCAACAGUAAUCUGCUUUUGUUCUGAGCAGCAAUAGCUCCUGGCCAAAUGUCCCAUUAUUGUCUUGGGUGAUAGUUCCUUGGUAGGCCCGUAAUACAGCAAUGGAUUUAGGAAAGGCCUUCCAGCACUCCUCCCAGCCUAGUAGGUUGAGUUCCAUGCAGACAUUUUAUUCAUUACAUUUUUUAAAAUCCUGUUUUUCCUUCAAAGAGCUCAGGAUAACAAUUACAGUUACCCCUUUUAACCCUCACAACAACCCUCAGAGAUGGGUGAGGCUAAGAGAAAGCAAAAGGGCCAAGUUCACCUCAUAAGAUCUUUCCGGCUGGUAGAUGAUUUUAAACUGGGGUGCCUUGAUCAGUUUGCAACGUGCUAGCCCCAACACCAGCUCUCUAAAAAAAAUUACCUUGAGAUGAACUUCUUGGUAAACAUACCUGAAUUGUGUGUGAGCACAUAGAUAGAGAUGGCCUUGAUGCACUGAGGAUUUCCCAACUGGUUCUACGUCAUCUAGAUCCCUAUAAGAUGUCCUGCAGCAUGGGUGCUGGAAUACCAGAACCCCUGCCUAUUUGCCAACUGGGGCUGAUAAGAGCCCUACACCAUCUAAAGGGCCAAAGGUUCCCCACCACCAUCUGACAGGACGUCCAGGUUCCACCAUCUCUCUGCAGCCUUGCUUCAAGUAAGGGCUUAUCCACACUUACCUUUUGACCCACUCUUUCCAGGCAUGGUCCACACUUUAAAGCACUGUAUCUGAGUGCUUUUUUCUGCUUUUUUCUUUUUUCGCCCCAGAGCUUUCCCCAUGAAAACCUGCUCUCUGAAGCUGAUUCAGAGCAAACGACAAUCUGUGGGAAAACCAAAUUGUCAUUUAAAGAGCAGGUUUUUACAGGUCAUAGUUCUAGGACAAAAAAGAAAAGAAAAGAAUGCUUAGACACUAAAGUGUCCCGGGAAAACUGGGACAUCCCAUUUUUUAUCACGAGAGAACAGUGGUCAUUUUGGUUGUCAUGAUUUCGCGUGAUUUCACAGUGUGAUUUCUCCCCCUGAAAAAGUGCUUUUGGAGAGACUGCGAUCUCGCCCCCAAAAUGUGUGUUUUUGGGUGCUGUACCUGAAAAAAAACACUUUUGGGGGAUGAAACUGCCAUGCAAAGUCAUGCGGUAUCACAGCAGCCAAAGUGGCCUUUGUGCUCUUGCGAUUAAAAAAUGAGAAGAUGGUGUCUGAGAAGGUGGCAUCCCGGAUUUUGACUUUAAGUUGUUGGAGGGCAUGUUAAGUGUGGAUAAGUCCUGACACAAGGCCCAUAAAAUCUCCUUGUAUCAGCUUUGACUCCAAGAGAGAGUUUGAUCAGACCUAGGCUAACACCCUGCAUGAACUGAAAGAACACCCUAGAAUAUGCCCCCAGAAUCCUUUGGGUGCUCUAACAGAUUCUCAGGGUCCCUCAGAAGGGGACUUGAUAUGGGAAAGGUUGCUUGGUGGUAGAGAAAGGUGGCAAACCAACAGCCUACCCAAAUCCUGUUGUUCUUCUUCUCUGCGCCUUUCUUCCUUCCCUCAUGAUAGCUCUUGUGAGAGGAGGUUGCCUGGAUGAAAACAAGAAGACCUUCGAUGUCUCCCAGCCCAAGGUGCAGUGCUGCAUCUCUGGUCAGUUGUGAGUCUGAGAUGAAGCACUGUAGCUCGGGAAGGGAGGAACGAUGCAACGGAAGGGAAACUUACCUCUCCUCGGUUGAGCUGCGUGGAGCCAGAGAAGCCCUGGCAGGUAUUACUACUGAAUUGAUCCAGGGGACAGAAGAAUUCAACUGGACUGUGGCUGCAAGGGCUGAAGGCUAAGCGUGAAGAGCACUCUGGAGACAACAACUGCUUAUAAGAAAUAUUAUAAGCAGAGGCGGGGGGCUCUUUGUUGCUGCCCAGAAAGUGGUGUGUGGUGUGUUUUUUCUUGGAGUGCUCAUGCUUUGGAAAACAGAAUGCAACUCCAGCCCAGCGCUUCCUCAGAGGCACCACCAAGUGGCAAUACUGAGCAUUGAGCCUAAGCAAAAAAGCUCUUCCAUUCGAGGCCUGUCGAGCAGCACCACAUAAGAAAAGCUCAACCUGCAGCAGGAUGUGAAGGAACAGACUGAAGGCUAUCCUUGCUGUCAGCCCAACCCACACUGUGUCCUCGGGGUCCAGUUUUCCCAGGAAUCCCUUAGAUGAUAAGAGGGGGAUUCCUGGAAAUACUGUUCUUGGGGUCACAGCUCAGCAGCUGGAGAUACCGUCUUCCAUUUUUCUCACCCCAGAGAAGCCAUUUGAGAGCACAUGGAAAUGGAGACGACUUCAAGGAAUGGGCUGCAGUCAUUCAGCUCCCAAAACGCCAGCAGGCCGGAGUUACUCCUGUUAUGUGACCUCAUGUCAGGUGGUUCCAAAUCACAUCAGGCUUCCAGGAGUGAAGAAAAGCAACCACGCAGCAAAGAGAAAAAGAUUUGUUCACUAGGCAGUGUUCACUGUUUGCUUGGUUAGGGGCUAACUGGAAAAUGGGGAGGAAUCAUGGCCUUUGUGUCGCAGAUCAGCAAGAUCCAAAACUUGGGAACAUGUACCUUCUGCCAUUCUGGCAGAAUAAGCUAAUAGAAUAUGUGGAGCUAGCAAUGUUGACUGCAAAGAUAAGAAAUCAAGAUGAGUCGGAUAUAAAAGAAGAGCAGGAAUACUUUGGCAAAUAUUAAAAAAUAUAUAAUAAUCAGAUGAGCUUCCAAGUGGAGUUAGAUAUAUGAGCAGUAGUUAAAAUAAGUAGACGAGGGGUAAUAAUUAAGGAGAUACAGCUUAACAAGGACUAAAUAGGACCCCACGGAGGAAUGUGUGUGGAAGUCAAGGAGUGUAAGAUAAAUGAUGGCAAUUGUAUAACUGAUGUAUUAAGAUAUGUAAAAUGCAUAAAUAAAAAUUUUUAAAAAGGAAACCUGUCCCUUCACAACACUGAUCCUUGGAGGGGCUUCCUGUAUUGCGCCAUCUAGGAAAGGGUAUUUGGGCUUCUAUCCCACUCAGCUCUGCACUGGUUGGGGUGUAAAGAAAUAACAUCAUUGCUCCUUAGAUGUGCUGAACGAAAGUGUUGUCCCAUCAUGAUCCUCCACAUACUCUGCCUUCCUAAAACCAGGCAAGUGAAAAGUUUCUGCUGCCCUGAUGGAUUGCAAAACAUUUUGUGAAUUAAAAGUUCCUUCUGGAUGAGCUUGGUACAGUAGUGCUCUGCCCUGAGCAAUAAUGCUCUCGCUCCAGAUCCUACCCAGGAAAUGCCACCACAUAACAACUGUAAACACGACAUGGUUUAAUCCCUGAGUGGUACCCCUUCUGUGCUAGCUGAGCACUGCUACAUGUAUACAGUGGGGAUUUGAUUGAGGUUGCAUUGAAAGGCAAGCAUGCCUAAUUCUAAUUCACACUUUCUGAAAUAAUAUGCAAACUGAAACACAGCCAUCCGCAGAAAUUAGCACUUUCCCAAAAUUUGCAAUGCAGUUCUCCAGCCAAGUAAUGUGUACAAAACAUGCUGUGGUGAAGUGUGCCUAAAAUUCCUGUAACAGUGAAAAUAACACAAAAACAUGUUUUAUAUUAGGGGAAAUUGCUUUACCAAAAUACGUAUAUUAGGCAAGCUUUCAUAUCAACGUGUGAAUAUUCGGAGCAAUUUGCACUAAAGUGCUGGAUUUUCACAAAAACUCUUUAAAAUAUCAAAACCUGAUGCAGAAAUAUGUAGAACUGAGUUUAAGACUGGAAAAAUGAGAAAUUGAGAUAAACUGAACAUGACCGAUUCAACCAUCCCUCUGUCAAUAAAUCUCUGCACUUGUGCAGUUUC